GCCAGUGGCGAUGGCACGUGGAAUGCACCAGAUCCUCAUAGAUCACUGAAGCUAACCAACGUUGUGCAUGGUUGGUAUCUGAAUGGGUGACCAUGUCCAGAUCGUGUUUUGCUGGCU
rnacentral:rRNA from 1 species